ensembl:lncRNA
AUUCAGUGCAGUAUUAAUUAUAAUUUCAAAAAUUAGGGAAAAAAACUAAAUGUCUCUAGAUAGUAUAAUAGUUAAAUUUGUGAUAUAUUCAUAUCAUACUGUAUUAUACAGCCAUACAAGACAUGAGGUUGGCAUUCAUAUACUGACAUAAAAAAUGUCACUCGUAUAUUAAAUUUAAAAGAGAAACUACAUAUCAAUAUGUAAUAUGGAAGAAUUUAAAUAGUUUAGAAAAAUUAAAAUAUGUUUCUUUUAGGAAAAGAAAAGGAAUAUACAUAUUAGGAAUACUGUAGUAGGAAACAUUCAUCUGUCAACAUAGUUUCAUCUGGUAUGGGACAGUGGAAAGAAGGUUUUAUUAUUAAAGUCUAUAAAUUUAAAAAAAAAAACUAGCACUAUCACCUAUUAGUCACAUGGAUUUGAGCAAAUUACUCUUUGAGCCUCAGAAUCCUUAUUCACAACAUGGAGAAAAUAAUAGUAUAUAACUCACCAAGCUGUUGUAAGAAUUGAGCAAGAUAAUGCAGAUAAGGUUCUUCUUGCAGCGCCUACCCAAAUAAAGGCUGAUAAUUAUUAGUUAUGAUUAGUGUUAUUUUAUAUCAUUGAGAAGUCUUUCUUUAGAAGACUUUUCCAUCAGUACCUUUUUUUUCUCACUUAUUUCUCCAGCACUCUUAGGGCCCUUGAUGAAUUUCAUCAAAGAUACUCUCAUCAGCACCUUCAAUGAUCUUUCUCCUCUGUCUUUCCACCACAGGUAUUAUGCCAACUCUCAUCCUGUGAAUCCACUGACUGGGGAACUUUGUUUAAGAAAAUCACAUGGCUGUGACAAUGACCAUGUACAUUCACUGGGGAAAAAGGGAAGGCAUUGAGACAUGGCACAAAAGCCAGAAGCAGAAGCAGCUUUACUGAAAAACAGAGCAUGAAUAGAAUGACUUCAAGUCCCUUAUGGCACCAUAGUGAGAAGUGACUUCCUCUGAGCUUCUUAGAGAAUUCAACAGUGUCCUGUUCCCUUAGGGAGCUGCAACCAUUGGCACGUGGAAAUAGGGCUUCCACCAAGAGUCCCACCAGUCGCAGCAACAGGAAGUCUUCAGACAACUUUGAUGAUAGUGGUUGUUAGCCAGAGCAAGCUAGAAGAAGAAAGAAAAGCUAUAAAGAUGCCACAGUGGGAGCGUGAGCACCUUGAGGCAUCCUGUUGGAAACUGACAAACCUAAUUGUGGGACUUGGAUGCUGAGUUCAGGUAAACAUGCUGUGGGAGGCACUGUAAUUCAGUCAUUAACAUUGAAAACGGUCCAAUUCUAUAUACAUACUCUGUUGAAGACUUCUUCCAACCGCCUUAUAUUAUACAUUUAAAAUAUGAAAUACGAAUGCAAAUAUGAAAUAUAAAUUUAAAAUAUGAAAUACACACUGAGUCUGUGUCUUGACUCAGAUUACCUAGGAAGGGACAGUAACUUAUUCAUCAAUGUUUAGAAUAAUAGUAAGUUACAGAAUAUAGUCUGAGAAAAUUACUUGGGCCAAGAAAGCAAUGUCCCUGGCAUUCAUCAGUCCAGAAUCAGAACUGCGGAUAAAACUAGGUGCAAAUUUAUCAGAAAACAAUAUUUUUCUGAAAUACAUAUUGUAGCCAUAGAAUCCUCUAAAAACUUAGUUCUUAGAGGGACUCCUGCUUACUUGCUGAGAAAUUUUAUUCUCUGAAAUCAUAGAAUAUCAGAUGUAUUGCUGUUGAAAAUUCUUGCAACAGGAAUGAAACAUCUCACUCUUAUCUGGAGGACAAGUCAUUGUGAUCAGCAAAGCCUUGAUUUAUAGCCCCUGUGCAAAGCUUCAGAGAAUGGGUCUCAGGACACAACAUUCGACAUCUCUUUUACUUCAUUUCCAAGAAAACAGGACUGCUAUGGUUUGAAUGUUCAUCUCCCCCAAACCAAUGUGUUGGAGCUGGGGCCUUACGGGAGGUGUUUGGGUUAUCAGGGUGGAUCCCCCAUGAAUAGAUUAAUGCCCUCCCUGGGAUAGGGAGCAGUGAGUGAGAUCUUGCUCUAUUCGUUCUCAAGAGAGCUAGUUGUUAAACAGAGCCUGGCACGUCACUCCUCCCUCCUUGCCUUCUCUCUCACCAUAUGAUCUCUGCACACAACACCUCCCCUCACCUUCCGCCAUGAGUGAAAGCAGCCUGAGCCUCUUACCAGUUGCAGUUGCUGGUGCCAUGCUUCUUGUACAGCCUGCAGAACAGUGAGCCAAAUAAACCUCUUUUCCUUAGAGAUUGCCCAGCCUCAAAUAUUCCUUUAUAGCAACACAAAAUGGACUGAGACAAGGACCAUAGGUCCAUUUCACAGUACAGAGCUGAAGCUGACAUCUUUUAUACACCACCAUACUUUGCUUAGCGCCCAUACAGCAUCACUGCACCUAAAUUCCACUCUUUAGCAAAAUCCUGUGUUAACUCUACAUUUUCCUUUGUUUGAUGAGACAUCUCACAAUUCCUCUCCUGUGCAGUCCCACACUGCAAUGAGAAGUAAAUUUGACUUCGUUGGUCUGUUU